GCAUAUUAGUAGGCGGUGGAAGAUAACCCAAAAGGGAUUCCUUCAGUAAUGGCGAAUGAACGGGGAAAAGCUCAGCAAAGAAAUCGAGGACUCCGGCCUUGAGUUGUGGACUUGAGAGGUAUCGCCAAUGGUGGCACAGGUGGGGGCCUCUUGGAAAAGGGCACCACAGAGGGUGUGAGUCCUGUUUGCCAUCUGUAGUCCGCCGUGUACGGCAUGCCUCCUCAGAGUCACGUUCCUUGGAAUUGGAGCGCGAAGGUGGUGGUGGCUUUCAUCUCAAGCUAAGUAUGGGUUCGAGACCGAUAGCAAACAAGUACCAUGAGGGAAAAUUGAAAAGAGCUUUGGAAAGAGAGUUAAAAGUGCCCGAACUUGCUGAUAGGGAAGCGAAGGGAGCUGACGUUGCUUGGUAACAUCUUCUGCGCAAGACUAGGAUGGGUUCUGAUUGCAAUGUGUGUAGUGUUUCUUGCCGUGCGUGUCGAUGCCAAGCAAUGAGUGGAGAGAGCUCCAGGGAUAUGAUUGUUUCUGUCCCCGGGUAGACGAAGGUGCCUGGUUGCAUCCAUUCGUGGGCUGAAAAAUUGGUGGCUGGUUGCAGCAUUCCCUUGCCAACUAAUGCAAUUGGAGUGUAGCCCUGACAUGCAGACGAGGACAAAGUGCUUCUGUUCGACCCGUCUUGAA
rnacentral:rRNA from 1 species